UACGGAGGGUGCGAGCGUUGUCCGGAAUCACUGGGCGUAAAGGGCGCGUAGGCGGCUCGUGAAGUCAGUGGUGAAAGCCCAGGGCUCAACUCUGGGUCGGCCGCUGAUACUCGCGAGCUCGAGUUUGGUAGAGGCAGAUGGAAUUCCGGGUGUAGCGGUGGAAUGCGUAGAGAUCCGGAAGAACACCGGUGGCGAAGGCGGCGCUCUGGACCGAGACUGACGCUGAGGCGCGAAAGCGUGGGGAGCAAACAGG
rnacentral:rRNA from 1 species